AUCAUUACUGAGUGAGGGCCUCUGGCCCGACCUCCAACCCCAUGUUAUCUGACACUGUUGCCUCCGGGGCGACCCGGCCUGCCUUCGGGCGUUUCGGGGCCCCGGGUGGACCAUUCAACUCUGCAUCUUUGCGUCUGAGUAAAUGAUUGAAUCAAUCAAAACUUUCAACAACGGAUCUCUUGGUUCUGGCAUCGAUGAAGAACGCAGCGAAAUGCGAUAAGUAAUGUGAAUUGCAGAAUUCAGUGAAUCAUCGAAUCUUUGAACGCACAUUGCGCCCCUUGGUAUUCCGAGGGGCAUGCCUGUUCGAGCGUCAUUACACCACUCAAGCCUCGCUUGGUAUUGGGCGCCGCGGUCCGCCGCGCGCCUCAAUGUUUCCGGCUGAGCUCUCUGUCUCUAAGCGUUGUGGUUGAAACUAUCCGCUUGCGAGAUCGGGGGGCGUCUGGCCGUUAAACCAUUACUCAAAGGUUGACCUCGGAUCAGG
rnacentral:rRNA from 1 species